AUUGAACGCUGGCGGCAGGCCUAACACAUGCAAGUCGAGCGAGCGAAGGACGGGGGCGGAAUGUAUGGGGACUGCCCGUAAGAGGGGGAUAACUACGGGAAACGGUAUCUAAUACCGCAUACUAGCGGAUAACCCAUAGGGGAUUAGCUAGUAGGUGAGGUAAUGGCUCACCUAGGGGAGGAUCCCUAGCUGGUCUGAGAGGAUGAUCAGCCACACUGGGACGGAGACACGGCCCAGACUCCUACGGAGGCAGCAGUGGGGAAUAUUGCACAAUGGGCGAAAGCCUGAUGCAGCCAUGCCGCGUGUAUGAAGAAGGCCUUAGGGUUGUAAAGUACUUUCAGUAGGGAGGCGGUACCGACAGAAGAAGCACCGGCUAACUCCGUGCCAGCAGCCGCGGUAAUAC
rnacentral:rRNA from 1 species